UAUGAGAGACGCUUUUUAGACGACAUUUGCAGGAAGUGUGGCUAAGCGUUCCUAUAAUAUAGCAAAUACUGAUGCUUCAAAAAGCGUCAACAUAUGAACGCUAUAUCAUAUCAAACUAAUUUAUUACGUAAAAAAGUUUUUUAUUAUUUUUAUUUUUUUGAUGCUUUGAAGUGUCAGGAUUUCAAAAAAUUCUAACGCUUUAAAACGUCAGAAUAUAUUUUACCGAACACGUGGUAUCCGACGCUUUCAAAUUUAACUUUAGAUUAUAUUUGGACGUUUUUAAGCAUCGUUAAAUAUUAAAAAAAAAAAAGGUGCCCUUAAAUAUUUACUUUUUUUGUAGUGUAAUAUUUUAUAUUCUAUAGCUUGAUGGCUUGCAUGCUGUUGUUGCUUCAUGGCUUAAAUUUGCUUCUAAACUUUCCAACCACCUAACAUUUUCUUUUUAAGUCUUUCUUCUCACAGAACUUCUUGGGUGCUUUUCCUCUCUCUCUCUCUCUCUCUCUCUCUCUCUCUCUCAUAAAAAAUUCAGGGAUUUAAUGGAACUAUUUACCUAUCUAGCCUCUUUACAAAAAAAUAUUCCCUAUCUAGUCUUUUUUUGAAAAAUAUUCCGCAUCUAGCCUCAUUUUCAAAGAUUAAAGAAAAAAAGAGAAAUUAAUACUUUUAAUAUAUAUUAAGGGGUUAAGUGGGGGAGAUUAUCUUUUUCUCUCUCCUUUCCCGAGAUUCCUUUUCACUCUCUAAUUUUUGCGUAUAAUUUAUCUCAUAUCGAUUUAUUUCAAAUUAAAAAAUUUUCAUACGGCGCAUCAACCAAUUCUAAUCUUUUUAUAUUUUGAUGAAAAUAUUAUACAUGAUUCGGAAGGAGUUGAUUAUAAUGGUCAUGAUCCAAAAACUAUUUGGAUUUCUCGUAUUUUAGGUUUUAAUACAUUAAAAUAUGAAAUUUAUAGACCGAAUGAAAUCAAAAUUAUUUUGAUAUAAAAAUUAAUGGGAGAGGAGAGAGAAAAAAAUAAUCUCCCCCACUUAACCCCUUAAUAUAUAUUAAAGGAAUUAAUUUCUCUUUUUUUCUCUAAUCUUUGAAAAUGAGGCUAAAUGGAGAAUAUUUUUCAAAAGGAGGCUAGAUAGGGAUAUUUUUUUGUAAAGAGGCUAGAUAGGUAAAUAGUUCGAUUUAAUGUUGGUUGCUUUGCAUGCAAAUCUAGAAUAUAUCUCUCUCUCUCUCUCCUCUUUAAAAAAGUAUGGGAUUUUGAGUUGUUAGUUUUGCAUGCAAAUCUAGAGUAUUAUAUAUAUACAUAUAUAUAUAUAUAUAUAUAUAUAUAUAUAUAUAUAUAUAUAUAUAUAUAUAUAUAUAUAUAUAUAUAUAUAUAUUUUUUUUUAUUUAUUUAUUUAUGCUAUUAUACUAUCAGUAGUAUUAAGCGCUUGGUACUAUCGAAUUUUCGACCGUUUGAUAAAAGAAUGUGCAGUUAACAUGAUAGUGAUUUCCGAAUAUGAUGAUAGUAAUCCCCUGGGAUUGAGUGGGUGGUUGGUUGAAUAAUAUAAUUCAACGGGCGGGAAUGAUCAAAAGAUAAAUUUAAAGGCAGAAAACUUAAUAGUAUCAAGAGCUUGGUACUAUCGAUAGUAGCCAGACUCUCUCACUCUCUAUAUAUAUUUUUUCCUUCAAGAGAAUAUACAAAAUUUUUUAAAAGCAACCUAUACCUAAACUGUCAACUUAUGCCUAUUAUUUAUUACUUAUAUUAAUAUCCU
rnacentral:lncRNA from 1 species